UACAGAGGUCCCAAGCGUUGUUCGGAUUCAUUGGGCGUAAAGGGUGUGUAGGUGGCGCCGUAAGUCGGGUGUGAAAUCUCGGGGCUUUAACUCCGAAACUGCAUUCGAUACUGCGGUGCUUGAGGACUGGGAGAGGAGACUGGAAUUCAUGGUGUAGCAGUGAAAUGCGUAGAGAUCAUGAGGAAGACCAGUGGCGAAGGCGGGUCUCUGGGCCGAUACUGACGCUGAGGAGCGAAAGCGUGGGGAGCGAACAGG
rnacentral:rRNA from 1 species